rnacentral:rRNA from 1 species
GAUGAACGCUGGCGGCGUGCCUAAUACAUGCAAGUCGAGCGAACGGACGAGAAGCUUGCUUCUCUGAUGUUAGCGGCGGACGGGUGAGUAACACGUGGAUAACCUACCUAUAAGACUGGGAUAACUUCGGGAAACCGGAGCUAAUACCGGAUAAUAUUUUGAACCGCAUGGUUCAAAAGUGAAAGACGGUCUUGCUGUCACUUAUAGAUGGAUCCGCGCUGCAUUAGCUAGUUGGUAAGGUAACGGCUUACCAAGGCAACGAUGCAUAGCCGACCUGAGAGGGUGAUCGGCCACACUGGAACUGAGACACGGUCCAGACUCCUACGGGAGGCAGCAGUAGGGAAUCUUCCGCAAUGGGCGAAAGCCUGACGGAGCAACGCCGCGUGAGUGAUGAAGGUCUUCGGAUCGUAAAACUCUGUUAUUAGGGAAGAACAUAUGUGUAAGUAACUGUGCACAUCUUGACGGUACCUAAUCAGAAAGCCACGGCUAACUACGUGCCAGCAGCCGCGGUAAUACGUAGGUGGCAAGCGUUAUCCGGAAUUAUUGGGCGUAAAGCGCGCGUAGGCGGUUUUUUAAGUCUGAUGUGAAAGCCCACGGCUCAACCGUGGAGGGUCAUUGGAAACUGGAAAACUUGAGUGCAGAAGAGGAAAGUGGAAUUCCAUGUGUAGCGGUGAAAUGCGCAGAGAUAUGGAGGAACACCAGUGGCGAAGGCGACUUUCUGGUCUGUAACUGACGCUGAUGUGCGAAAGCGUGGGGAUCAAACAGGAUUAGAUACCCUGGUAGUCCACGCCGUAAACGAUGAGUACUAAGUGUUAGGGGGUUUCCGCCCCUUAGUGCUGCAGCUAACGCAUUAAGCACUCCGCCUGGGGAGUACGACCGCAAGGUUGAAACUCAAAGGAAUUGACGGGGACCCGCACAAGCGGUGGAGCAUGUGGUUUAAUUCGAAGCAACGCGAAGAACCUUACCAAAUCUUGACAUCCUUUGACAACUCUAGAGAUAGAGCUUUCCCCUUCGGGGGACAAAGUGACAGGUGGUGCAUGGUUGUCGUCAGCUCGUGUCGUGAGAUGUUGGGUUAAGUCCCGCAACGAGCGCAACCCUUAAGCUUAGUUGCCAUCAUCAAGUUGGGCACUCUAAGUUGACUGCCGGUGACAAACCGGAGGAAGGUGGGGAUGACGUCAAAUCAUCAUGCCCCUUAUGAUUUGGGCUACACACGUGCUACAAUGGACAAUACAAAGGGCAGCGAAACCGCGAGGUCAAGCAAAUCCCAUAAAGUUGUUCUCAGUUCGGAUUGUAGUCUGCAACUCGACUACAUGAAGCUGGAAUCGCUAGUAAUCGUAGAUCAGCAUGCUACGGUGAAUACGUUCCCGGGUCU